rnacentral:misc_RNA from 1 species
GGAAACGCAUCAAUUCUAAGGCAAUAUCAAUGUCUAUAUCUGCAAGCUGGUCAAUGCACAUCUUUAAAAGAGAUGGACUGCGAGAAAGCAAUAGCUUUACAAAAAGCAGUUCAGCUUUUGAACUACUAAAACAGUUGAUGGCAACGUGCUCUAGCUUGUCGAGUGGUUGUUCCAGGCAGGAUGGUGUAUCAAGAUACUUCAAGAUUGCUUCGGCAUCGUCACUGGUAGCAUGGACCGAAAUAUGGAGUUUCCUCAAAUUGGGGGAACUCUUAAUUAACUGCAGGACAUAAGAAAUGUGACACAUUUUGCUGAAGUCUACACCUAAAUGUAGAUGCCACAAGCAGCUGAGUGUAGAAGGCUGCAAAUUCGGAACAAUGCG